UCCCGUUUUAACUUUCUCAUUUACUUUUCACAUUUACCAAUAUCUUAAAUUUUAAUCCCACUGGCCCAAACUCACAUUUCCUCCAUCUCUCUCUAUAGUUCACCCCACCCCCAAGAACCGCUGCCACCACACCUUCGUCUACGUAACCACCAUCGACGAAAAAGGGUCGUUGUGAUGACAACUAUCAACAACAGGAGUCAACCCGGGUUGGAAUCGCAUCUCCGACAAGCCAAUCGAAACCGCCUUAGGGGAUGUAGCGGUGGUUCUGAAAUCCGGCAUCAGAAUUCGAGCUGUGUGGAUGAGAAGAUGUCGUCGUAUGCAGCUCAGGCUCCGAAUCGGCUUACUGGCAUAGGUACAAAGUUUUGAGUGGGUAAAUGUUAACAUAAGCAAAACCAAAUCCAUUAGUUAAUGAUUUGAUUAGAGUAUUCUGCCCUUCCAAUUUGAGGUAUUAAUUAGUUGAACAGUCGAGUCGGGUAUUCUUAAAUCGGGUUUUCUUUGUCUACCCGAGGCUGAGACCGGGAUUAUAUGAAACAUGGGACCAAAGAAUCGAAGUUCACCAAAUAUAAUAUCAUUCGGUUUGCGAGUCAAGUAAGGUCUAACUAGUAUAUGGAUUGUAUCCGUGUCAUCAGGUUACCAAGUCAUUUCAGGCACAAGGUGAAUCUGAUUUUUUCUGUGUCAUCAACAUACAGGUUUGACUUUGUGUUUUUAUUAAGUCAAUUAUGUUUACCAUUCGACUUUGUCUUUGACAGAUUGUAUACUGUGCACCAGAAGGCUACAAAGGAGCAGGAACUGGAGAAGCAAGGCCCAACGAACAGAAGCAAGGUUACUCAUCUUAUAUCACGUGAGGCCUCAAAGGUGUUAAAGUUGGAGAAACUCCCUAGAGUAUCUAUUGAAACACUUUUGUGACGUUGCUGCAAAUAAAGAGUACGUCUUUUUUGCACACAUGACACAACACAUAACAUAUAAUUUACAUUUUUAUUAACAGAUACCAAAAAUGCGGACUGGCGGUUGCGACCGUUAACUGGUGAAAUGCUGAGAUAUGUUAGAGAAGACACACGUUAUCUUCUGUACAUAUACGAUCUUAUGAAAAGAAAGCUGCUUUCAUCAUCAACAGAUCCAAACUGCCCCGAAGCAUCUCUUGUUGAGGUAUACCAACACAGUUAUGAUCUAUGUAUGCAGCUCUAUCAGAAAGAGAUUCUGACUGAGAACUCAUAUCUAAACAUAUAUGGGUUAUAUGAUGCUGAUCUCAACGGCCAGCAACUUGGGAUUUUUGCAGCCUAUUUAGAAGAUGAAAGUACCGGUUAUAUAUUGCCAAACUAAGUUCUUAUUGAAAUUGCAAAGCAAAUGCCGGUGACAACUGGAAAAUUGCGACACUUAUUGAAAUCGAGACACCCCUAUAUUGAGCGAAAUCUUGGUUCAUUCGUUGGCAUCUUUAAACAUUCCAUGCAGAAUGGCGCUGCAUUUGUACCUGUUGCCAAGAAAAUUGUUGAAGAUGAUUAUUUAACUCGCAUGAAGAUUGUGAAAGAGAUUCAUGAGCACAAUUAAAUUUUGAGUUUUUAUUCAUACGCUUGUUAGUUUAUUUGGUUAUAUGUUUGAUCAUUAGACUUAGAUCGAUACUUAUUAGACAUUUGGAAUCUUUGGAAGAUUGAUUGAACUUUUAAUUGAAGCGACUAUUUUAUGA